CUGGAUUAGGUAGUUGGGAUGGUUACAGCAUCCCAAGCCAAGGAUCCAUAGUCUUCCUUAUCGGGGGAAAGGCCACAGUGGGACUGAAACAAGGCCCAUCCGCAUAGCGGCAGCAGUGAAGAAUCUUUGACAAUGGGCGAAAGCCUGAUCAUGCAGUUCUGCGUAAGAUACGGAAGAAAAGAUUCCGUCCAUUAGAGGGAAGGCAAAUUGUCGAAACUCUUGUUUAUUUUUGACAAAUACUUGUACUUUUGUUCUUAGAACAAAAGCUUUCUAAAAAAGAAUUAUAGUUAUAAUUCUGUUUUGAAAUAGCAAAAAUAAAAUCCCUGGCAAACUCUGUGCCAGCCGCCGCGGUAAUACAGGGAGGGAGAGUGUUGAGCUUUGGGACUAGGCAUAAAAAGCAGGUAGGUGGUAUGUUUGGUUCCUAUUGUAAGGGUUUGAUUGAUCAAACCAGCAUAAAGAAACAAACAUUCUUGAAUCAUAGUAUGGGUAAGGGAAUGGCCCCAGUACCGGUAGAAUGGUCGCAUAAGGGUUGGAACGCCUAAAGCGAAGGCACUUACCUGGCUAUGAAUUGACACUGAGCUGCGGAAGUGUGGAGAACAAAUGAGAUUAGAGACCUCAGUAGCCCACACCGUCAACGAUGAGUGCUUUACAGUUAUAACCAAAGACUGUGAAUGCAAAAUGUAUAAGCACUCUGCCUGGGGAGUACCGUCGCAAGGCAGAAACUCAAAAGAAUUGACUGCUAGAGAGAACAAUGGUGGAGCAUUGGGGUUUAAUAGAAAAC
rnacentral:rRNA from 1 species